UACAUCUACCCUGUAGAUCCGAGUUUGUAGGUGGAAACUCGCUGACAAAUUCGGUUCUAGAGAGGUUGUGUGGU